rnacentral:misc_RNA from 1 species
UCAACACAAACUGGUAUUGGAACAUGCAUCGCAAUUGCUGGUGUUGCAGUCUACUCAUUCCUCAAGGCUAAGAUAGAAGAGGAGAAACAAGUGAGUAUCAACUCGAACAAGAUAUGGCGAAAUAUAACUGUUAAUUAAGUGUUAGUGUUGAGGUUCUCCUCAUUAAAGUAAUAGUAACUCUAAAUUUGGUUUCUUUGCAGCAAAAGAAAGCAGCAUGAGAAGGAAAGAAGAAUCAACGUGCUUGUAAAGUGUUGUUCUAUAUGUUGUUCCAAAGAUAAAAAUGACAAUUUGAGUAUCUUAUUUGUCACUGUGUCGUUUUGCCUUCCAUCAAUUUUCUCAGAUUCAGGUUUACUUGAAACAGUGUAUCUCUUGCUCUGUCCCAGCUCAGAACAAGCUUAUAUGAUAAGAAUCUCUAGAGUUUAACAAUAAUACGUGGGGUAAUUAGUGCGACCACU